CCUACGGGAGGCAGCAGUGGGGAAUAUUGCACAAUGGGGGUAACCCUGAUGCAGCGACGCCGCGUGAGUGAAGAAGUAAUUCGUUAUGUAAAGCUCUAUCAGCAGGGAAGAAAAUGACGGUACCUGAGUAAGAAGCCCCGGCUAACUACGUGCCAGCAGCCGCGGUAAUACGUAGGGGGCAAGCGUUAUCCGGAUUUACUGGGUGUAAAGGGAGCGUAGACGGCAGUGCAAGUCUGGAGUGAAAGGCGGGGGCUCAACCCCCGGACUGCUCUGGAAACUGUACGGCUGGAGUGCAGGAGAGGUAAGUGGAAUUCCUAGUGUAGCGGUGAAAUGCGGAGAUAUUAGGAGGAACACCGGCGGCGAAGGCGGCUUACUGGACUGUAACUGACGUGGAGGCUCGAAGGCGUGGGGAGCAAACAGGAUUAGAUACCCCAGUAGUC
rnacentral:rRNA from 1 species